rnacentral:rRNA from 1 species
UACGAAGGGUGCAAGCGUUACUCGGAAUUACUGGGCGUAAAGCGUGCGUAGGUGGUUUGUUAAGUCUGAUGUGAAAGCCCUGGGCUCAACCUGGGAAUUGCAUUGGAUACUGGCAGGCUAGAGUGCGGUAGAGGAUGGCGGAAUUCCCGGUGUAGCAGUGAAAUGCGUAGAUAUCGAGAGGAACACCAGUGGCGAAGGCGAGUCCCUGGACAACACCUGACACUGAGGCACGAAAGCUAGGGGAGCAAACAGG